rnacentral:lncRNA from 1 species
UAGUAAAUAGUCCCGAAAGCAGCAAUCGGAGGAGAUUCCGCUCUUUCUUUAGGGAAGUCCUAGUCUCCUUUCUUACCGGCAAUAGAGGGGGAGAAAGGCUAAGAGAUGGCGCAGUAGAAGGCCUAUGUUGAAUAUUCGUUAUAGAUAAUCGAUGUCCUUCGCUUCAUCUGCAGUAAUCGGUGUAAUAAAGCAAGGGAAGAGGAGCAUAUAAGUCAGGCUGCUUAAUUAAUGUAUAAGACUUAGAUCAAGCUAGGAGAAGCGCUUUCAGGCUCGUUCGCUUAGCAAAUCUCUAAUUAGUCUUCUCUGGUGUCGGCCACAGUCCAAGAAGUAGUCUUUUCCCAUUUUCUAGCAAGAAGAAGUAGGGAUUCGGCGCUUAUAAUAAGAUAGAUAAAUCACGCGGACUCAAGCCAGAAAAGAAAAG